AAUGGAAGUGUUACGGGAUCUCUGGGGUAUUAAUUUUCUGGUUGGAAACCUCUGUGGCCAGUGUGGCACCUUUGCCUGAGUUCUUGUCUUGCCACCAGGAAGAAUGAGGUACACAGACAAGUGGAGGGAGAACAAGUCAACAAGGAGGUUUACUGAGUGCUAGAAAGCUCAGAGGAGACCCACAGUGGGUAGCUCUUCUCUGUAGGGAGAUCAUCCCAUUGAGUGUUCAGCUCUCAGCAGAGAGGAGGCCCUAGAGAGUGUGGCUCCUCUCUGUAGCUGGUCCCCCCAACCUCUGCUCAGCUUUGGCUGAGCCUGGGGCUUUUAUGGGCCUCAGAGUGGAGGAAGUGUGAGCCCAGUUGAUCUAUGGGCAGCCAUGGGUGGGCCAGAAAAGGCAGUACAAGUUCCCACUCUGGUUGGUCGGACUGGCAACCUGGCCCCCAGCCUUCAGGCGCCUGGCCUGAAGGUGGGGCCUCACUGGGACCUGCCCGCUUCCAACCAGGAAUCUAUCUGCCUCUUGCUGCCAUUCAUGAAGCCCAGGCUUGCCCUGACUUUGCUCCCAGAUCAAAGCAGGUGUCCAAAGCAGGAAGAAGCCAGGCAGCAGCAGAAGGCACUUCUGAGCCUGGGAGAGCAGGUGAGGGCCUUCCUGGGCCCCUAAGAGUACAGGGAUGCCUGAGCCUGCAGCUGUGGUUUGGGUGGCUGUAGCUGUGUGAAGAGGGGGCUGGGGGCUCCUGUCUGCCCCAUGGAGGAGGCCCCAGUCUGCAGUUGCGGUUUGGGUAGCUGCAGCUGCACCUGGGAGGGCAGGGCUCCUGCCUGCUCCAUAGAGUGUGUAGCCCAGGCCAUGCCUCCCUGCUGUGGCUGAGUGUUGACAGCAGCAGGUUGUCUGGAGCCAUGGCUGCCAUCAGAAGUGACCAAUGACUGGUGAUUGUCAUGAGUGGUACAAGGUCAAGAGAUAACCAGGUCUGGCCAGGGGUGGUGGCUCACGCCUGUAAUCCCAAACUUUUGGGAGGCCAAGGCAGGAAGAUUGCUGGAGGCCAGGAGUUCAAGACCAGCCUGACCAACAUGGUGAAACUCUGUCUCUACUAAAAAUACAAAAAUUAACUGGCUGUGGUGGCACAGGUCUGUAAUCCCAGCUACUUGGGAGACUGAGGCAGGAGAAUUGCUUGAAUCUGGGAGGCAGAGGUUGCAAUUGCAAUGAGCCAAGAUCAUGCCACUGCACUGCAGCCUGGGUGACAGAGUGAGACUCUGUCUCAAGAAAGAAAAAAUAGAUAACCAGGUCCACACAUGUUUGUGUCUUUCUACAAUGUCAGAUUUUUAUUCACCCUAUACCCAAGAGUAAAAAAACAAAAGCCACGAGAUAUCCCAAGGAGCCAAUUUGCUGCUGCUGCUUCUUUUUUUUUUUUCUUCGAUACAGAAUCUCACUCUGUUGCCCAGGCUGGAGUGCAGCUGGAGUGCAGUGGCACAAUCUCAGCUCACUGCAACCUCUGACUGCCGGGUUCAAGCAAUUCUCAUGCCUCACCCUCCCAAGUAGCUGGGGUUACAGGCCUGUGCUACCAUGCCCAGCUAAUUUUUGUAUUUUUAGUGGAGAUGGGUUUUCACCAUGUUGGCCAAGCUGGUCUCAAACUCCUGACCUCAGGUGGUCUGCCUGCUUCAGCCUCCCAAAAUGCUGGAAUUAUAGGCAAGGGCCACCAUGCUCAGACCCAAGGAGCCAAUUUUCCUUAGUACUUCCUGUUCACUCAGUAGUUAGCACACGGGCUCAAGCCACUAUACAAGUCAGUCAGUCAAUAUUGCAA
ensembl:lncRNA